CUUUUCCCCCAUUUUCUCCAAACCCGAGAAACAAAAACCUCAGAAUUAUCUCUUUUGAUCCCAAAAAUAUGUUAGGUUUUGUUAAAAGGAAUGGACUUUCUUCCAAAAUUCUUAAAAUUUAUCGAUUUGGAGCUGAUGCAAUCUCAAUUGCUGAUAAAGGACCCAGUAAGCGAGCACCUCAAUUACAUCUAUGGAGAUUGAGGGCCGGAGAUUACCCUAAAACCUAGAGAUGUGAUUCAGUGUGUUGAAUAUGGAAGAAGAAAAGAAAUUAAUUUUCUGAUUGUUCUCAACCUGUCUGCUCGUCGUCAUCGAUAGUUGCACAAAGAAACUAGCAUUCUUAUUUCCUGCUCAUCUAGGUAUGUUUCUGCAGUCUUAACCAUCAAUUGCAGUUGUGGAACACAGAGUUUGUCUGAUCAUAAAUUUACUCUCUAUGUUUUAAGUAGGGUUCAUUUUACAUGAUUUUCUAUCUACUUUUAUUAAUAUUUUUGUAUGCUUGUGUUAUUAAACUUAGAAGAUAUUUGGUGGUAUCUUUGAUUGAAAAUAAAGGUGGUGAAUGAUUGUGAUUAUUGAAUAAUUUGGCUAAUCCUUUCUGUCAUUCUAGAGCUAAACUAAGUAGUUUUUUUUUGCACCCAGAGUGGUAGGCAGUGAUGCUUUUGAAUUUAAAGAGAAAGAUGACUAAUUCUAUUUCAAUUGGAGGCUUCUAAACCCAUGAACUAGAUAAGAAAUAAAUAUUUGUGUGGUCAAAACAAAACUUUAUUUUUGAUGUAAUGGUGUAUCUAAUAUGUACUAUGAAAUAGAAGAACCUUUGUUCUACACAUACACAUUUAGUAUGUUGCAUGGUUAACAAAUUAUAUGAUUGAAAAACAAAGAGUAAGAUUAUUUAGGCAACAAAAGAAAAUGCUAUAGAGAGCAAAUUCACUAUGCAUUUCGAGUGAAAGAAAUUAAAAAAUUGCAAACACCCAAGCAAAAGAUAACUUGUUUUAUGAAGUCCGGUGGAGAUCUUGGCCCUCAAAAUAUCCACUAAUAAUGUCAAGAGCUAUGGGACUCAUUCAAGCUAUGCUUGAUGGGAAUCCUAUUUCGGCGAGGACUGCGUAAACUAACAGGACAUAACUAAUGAAUUUCUGGUUUAACGGUUUAGAAGUAUAACGGAUUUACUCAUAAAAGGAUGUGCAAGUGGUGUGCUUUUAAGACAAUGUUGUUCAUUAUAUAGUAGAGAAGAUGUGUAAUACAAGUUAGAUAUUACAGUGAGUUGAAACUAUAAUGAAAUAUAUGUAGUUUCUAAUUUUGAAUUUUUAUGUUGUACUGUCUUCCGUAGAUACAGAAGCUGUUUGCGCAAAGUUUUGUAUUAACCUUUUGUGCUGAAUUUCUUGACAAACCUUGUCUAUUCCUUUUUCCAUUUUCAUUAGUAAUUUAAUUUUAAUUUAGAAGUGUUUGCAUGGAGCAAAAAUCACAUGUACAGAGGUUUUGUUUUUCCUGUUUCAUGAACUGAAUAUAUUUAUAAACUGAUUUGAUGAAGACUUGAUGAUAAGCCAUUGCUGCAGCUUUUUCUUAUGAUCAGGAGCAAUAUCAAGUGGUUUUAUAACUUAUUCAGCUCAUGAGAACUUGAGUGCAAAUAAAGUUUUUGUACGUACCGAUUUCAUUGCCGCCUGUUGUUUCCCCUCUUGAACAUUAUGGUAAGAUAGAGUUAUCUUGAGACAAGGGUCUUUUGGAAAUAAUCUCUCAACUUUCAUGAGGUAGUGGUACGGCCUGCAACACUCUAUCAUCUCCAAAACCCCACAUAGUGAGAUUAUACCGGUUA